AUUAAAGCAUACAAUAUCUAGUACGUGGACUUAAUAGAUGGUCUUUAAAUAGGAUAAAGUAUGGUUGAAAAAGACUAGAAACUGAAUUUGGAUGUAGAAUAUAUCUAAAUAGAAGAUUGGAAAUAAUGGAAAAUAGAGCAACAAUAACAAAAACAAAGCAAAACAUAGCGACAUGUAAGACAUGAUAGAGAAGUUGAAUAGACAGGUAAUUUGGACACUUAAAGAAAGGAAAAGAAUCAAUUUGAAGUAUAUGAAGGCAUCAUAUUCAAGAAUUUUCUUAAGUUAAUGGAAUUCAUCAAUCCACAGACAAGAUGAUCCUAUUCCCAUGAGCAUCAAAGAACUGAGUUCAACAAUGAAGUGUUGGAAACAACCAGCAUUUAAAAUGAAGUUCAUCUGACACACUCCAUGAUAUGCAGAAUCGUCUUUGUGCUGCAUGGCCUGUGCUCUGAGGAUUCAGCACUUGUUGACUAUUGCUGCGAUAGGUUCUUAGGUAAAGGUCACCUCCUCAGUCAGGAUGUCUCAACAAUCCCAAUUCUGUUGUCUCUUUGUCUUUCUUUCCUCUUAAUCUCAGAGAUCACCCACUAUCUGUUGGCUUCCAUUGUAUCAUUUAUUGAAAUUAAUAAUUACACAAUGUUUACUUGUUUCCUGUAUACUAUCUUCUCUGUGUCUAUUCACUGAUAUAUCCUUAGCAUCUAACACAAUGGUUGGAAGAGGGCAGUGCUUGAUUUAAACUGUAGAAUGAAUGAAUGAAUGAAUAAAUGAA